rnacentral:rRNA from 1 species
AACGAACGCUGGCGGCAUGCUUAACACAUGCAAGUUGAGCGAGAACCGGAGGGCUUGCUCUUUGGGGACAGCAGCGCACGGGUGAGUAACGCGUGGAUAACGUGCCCUAGGGUUGGGAAUAACUCGCCGAAAGGUGAGCUAAUGCCGAAUGUGUUCCAAUAAGGUGCGCCUAUUUGGAAGAAAGCGGGGCAACCCGCGCCCAAGGAUCGGUCCGCGUUCCAUCAGCUAGUUGGUGAGGUAAUGGCUCACCAAGGCUACGACGGAUAGCUGGUCUGAGAGGAUGAUCAGCCACACUGGGACUGAGAUACGGCCCAGACUCCUACGGGAGGCAGCAGUGGGGAAUAUUGGUCAAUGGGCGAAAGCCUGAACCAGCAAUGCCGCGUGAGUGAUGAAGGCCUUAGGGUUGUAAAGCUCUGUCAGUGGGAACGAAUAAGUCGGUUAAUACCCGAUGGUGACGGUACCCACAAAGGAAGCACCGGCUAACUCUGUGCCAG